rnacentral:lncRNA from 1 species
GAAUUCUGGUGAAAGAUGAAUAAGCCACUCCCAUGCUGCUUCUUCUAAUGAAUGCGGAAAUGCCCUUAAAAACAUGUGAUCAUCAGGGACAUGAAGAGGUUUCUUUGAAGAGCAAAUGGUGUAGAACUCCUCCAAAUGUCUAUGUGGGCAUUCACCUGCAAACCCAUGAAACCUAGGCAGCAAAUCUGUAAGUCCAGAGGUGAGAACGCAAUGAACAUCAACCUCAUCAAGUGGAACC